rnacentral:misc_RNA from 1 species
GAUGAAGAACGUAGUGAAAUGCGAUAAGUAAUGUGAAUUGCAGAAUUCAGUGAAUCAUCGAAUCUUUGAACGCACAUUGCGCCCGCCAGUAUUCUGGCGGGCAUGCCUGUUCGAGCGUCAUUACAACCCUCAGGCCCCCGGGCCUGGCGUUGGGGAUCGGCGGAGCCCCCCGUGGGCACACGCCGUCCCCCAAAUGCAGUGGCGGUCCCGCCGCAGCUUCCAUCGCGUAGUAGCUAACACCUCGCGACUGGAGAGCGGCGCGGCCACGCCGUAAAACACCCAACUCUUCUGAAGUUGACCUCGAAUCAGGUAGGAAUACCCGCUGAACUUAAGCAUUCAAUAAGCGGAGGA